GAUGAACGCUUGCGGGAGGCCUAACACAUGCAAGCCGAGCGGUAUUGUUUCUUCGGAAAUGAGAGAGCGGCGUACGGGUGCGGAACACGUGUGCAACCUGCCUUUAUCUGGGGGAUAGCCUUUCGAAAGGAAGAUUAAUACUCCAUAACAUAUUGAUUGGCAUCAAUUAAUAUUGAAAGCUCCGGCGGAUAGAGAUGGGCACGCGCAAGAUUAGCUAGUUGGUGAGGUAACGGCUCACCAAGGCGAUGAUCUUUAGGGGGCCUGAGAGGGUGAUCCCCCACACUGGUACUGAGACACGGACCAGACUCCUACGGGAGGCAGCAGUGAGGAAUAUUGGUCAAUGGGUGCAAGCCUGAACCAGCCAUCCCGCGUGAAGGACGACUGCCCUAUGGGUUGUAAACUUCUUUUGUAUAGGGAUAAACCUACCCUCGUGAGGGUAGCUGAAGGUACUAUACGAAUAAGCACCGGCUAACUCCGUGCCAGCAGCCGCGGUAAUACGGAGGGUGCAAGCGUUAUCCGGAUUUAUUGGGUUUAAAGGGUCCGUAGGCGGACUUAUAAGUCAGUGGUGAAAGCCUGUCGCUUAACGAUAGAACUGCCAUUGAUACUGUAAGUCUUGAGUAUAUUUGAGGUAGCUGGAAUAAGUAGUGUAGCGGUGAAAUGCAUAGAUAUUACUUAGAACACCAAUUGCGAAGGCAGGUUACCAAGAUAUAACUGACGCUGAGGGACGGAAGCGUGGGGAGCGAACAGGAUUAGAUACCCUGGUAGUCCACGCCGUAAACGAUGCUAACUCGUUUUUGGGCUUUAGGGUUCAGAGACCAAGCGAAAGUGAUAAGUUAGCCACCUGGGGAGUACGCUCGCAAGAGUGAAACUCAAAGGAAUUGACGGGGGCCCGCACAAGCGGUGGAUUAUGUGGUUUAAUUCGAUGAUACGCGAGGAACCUUACCAAGACUUAAAUGGGAAUUGACAGCUUUAGAAAUAGAGCUUUCUUCGGACAAUUUUCAAGGUGCUGCAUGGUUGUCGUCAGCUCGUGCCGUGAGGUGUUAGGUUAAGUCCUGCAACGAGCGCAACCCCUGUCACUAGUUGCCAUCAUUCAGUUGGGGACUCUAGUGAGACUGCCUACGCAAGUAGAGAGGAAGGUGGGGAUGACGUCAAAUCAUCACGGCCCUUACGUCUUGGGCCACACACGUAAUACAAUGGCCGGUACAGAGGGCAGCUACACAGCGAUGUGAUGCAAAUCUCGAAAGCCGGUCUCAGUUCGGAUUGGAGUCUGCAACUCGACUCUAUGAAGCUGGAAUCGCUAGUAAUCGCGCAUCAGCCAUGGCGCGGUGAAUACGUUCCCGGGCCU
rnacentral:rRNA from 1 species